UAGAAUAGAAUAUUCUACAGUUUGUUUUAUAGUGAGCUGUAAGUUUGUUAGUGCACAGAUGUAAGUUUUACAGUGUGUAUUAGUUUGUUAGUGCACAACUGUAAGUUUGACAGUGAGCUGUCCUCUCUGUGAUAACAAACUAUUCCAGCUAUAUAUAUAGCUACUGAUUGUUUUCUAUUUUAAUAUGAAUGAAAUACAAAUCAGUUCAUUCUCUC
rnacentral:lncRNA from 1 species